AAGAUACAACACAAAUACUGAUAUUUUGUAAGAUACAUUACAAAAUAUCAUAAUCUGUGUUGUGGCAGAUGUGAUCGCUGUAAUCUGAUUCGUUCUAGUUCUUGUCUGAUUAAACAGUUUUUUUCUUUAAAUUCUGCAAGUUUUUAUUAUUAUCUUUGGUUUCUCAUAUUUGCCCAUGACUUUAAAAAGCGGAAGUAUGUAGUGCAGAUUAGAUUACAACUUGAAAUCAGCAGUGCUCAGCAAUGUCUUUUCAAAAUAAAAAUGCAUCAUAUUUAAUGUUUGCUAUGUUUAGAUUAUGUGUAUUAUUCUAUUUAACUUGGUAAUGUGCAGCUUCCCCUACCUUAAAAUACUGUACAGCACUGAGAUGUCACCUCAUAUUCCUGAACACAUGGAAAAUGGUAAAUUUACUCAAUGUUGUUGGAUUGGAUCAACUGCAUCAAACCCAGAAGGUUACAGGUUUUUCAAGCUUUUUACUCUUAAAGUAACAAGUUGCUUAGAUGCCGGUACAUGAAUACUGCUGCUUUGUAACAACAAUCUCAAAAAUUACAACUAAUGGGUUAGACAUGAAAUUUUACUGUACUCUGUACUUGUGACAAUACUAUUGUUAUAGACCACUGCCUGUUCUUGGCAAAUGCUCCAGUUGUUAAAGGGCUAAAAUGUAAGGGUGUAGUCACACUAGGCCUGUUUGCUCCGUACCAUGUCCAAGCACGAUUGUCCCUGCUCCCUACACCUCUGCUGGCCUGCACUCACUAACUGCGCUUAACAUUCUGGGCCCGGGCACAGUUUCAUCAUGACCAUGACACUUCAUGUAAAGCCAAAACAAGAUCCAAACACGCUGUGACAGCAUGCAUGUCAAAAUGAUUUGACUUAUUUUGUGGUUGUUUUGGAUUUCUGUAGGGCAGAUAACACUCUACCCUCUUACAGAUUUAUUGAGUAUGCAGUGCAGCGUUUUGCUGUUAAUCGUGCUGCAUAUAUGAGAGGAUUUUUACAGAGACAAAUGAUGUUAAGGAAGGAAUUUGCAGCUUUUCUUGCCAACUACAAUUCACAUUCAAGUGUAAGGAAGCUGCUUAAUUUAGCUGUAUACAAGACAAGAGAACUACUACAUAUACAGUAUGGCACAGAUGGCUGAGAUUUUGUGGAAAUGCUUCUGGUUAGUUCACUGUUGAGUCAACAGCUCCACCUACAGCUUGUCACAUGUAUAGCUGUCAUGAAAAUACACAAGCCUCAUAAAAACCUGUGAUGCAUGCCAAAUAUGGGAAAACCUGCCUGAUUUAACAUCACUUACGGUUCCAGC